GACGAACGCUGGCGGCGUGCUUAACACAUGCAAGUCGAACGAUGAAGCCGGAGCUUGCUCUGGUGAAUUAGUGGCGAACGGGUGAGUAACACGUGAGUAACCUGCCCUUGACUCUGGGAUAACUGCGGGAAACUGUAGCUAAUACCGGAUACGACCCUCGGAGGCAUCUCCUGGGGGUGGAAAGAAUUUCGGUCAAGGAUGGACUCGCGGCCUAUCAGCUAGUUGGUGAGGUAAAGGCUCACCAAGGCGACGACGGGUAGCCGGCCUGCGAGGGGGGCCGGCCACCCUGGGACUGAGACACGGAGCAGACUCCGACGGGGGGCAGCAGUGGGGAAUAUUGCACAAUGGGCGCAAGCCUGAUGCAGCAACGCCGCGUGAGGAAUGACGGCCUUCGGGUUGUAAACCUCUUUUAGCAGGGAAGAAGCGAAAGUGACGGUACCUGCAGAAAAAGCACCGGCUAACUACGUGCCAGCCGCCGCCGUAA
rnacentral:rRNA from 1 species